ensembl:lncRNA
CGAGCUCUGAGGUCACCCUGUCGGUCCCGGGCUGGGUCUCUGCACGGCCUCUCCGGUGGAGUUUCUUAUGUUCCCGCCAGCUGUUCUUGAAGCAUUCCUGAGAGCAGAAGAAAGCUUCCUGGAGGCCCAGCUUCCUGCAAGUGGGACAUUGAAGCUGAGUCUCUCUCCCGCAGCCCUCGUCAUACAUCUCGGGGAUUUCGCCCCCGUGUUGGCCGGAAACUGAAGUGGAUCGCUGGUUACUGCCCUGUCCAUCUCCUCAUAAUAGAGGUUGAAUGGUGGGUCCACCUGGGGCUGUCCAUUGACUCUCCACCCCAGUAAAUCAAGACCACGAAGUUGUCCAGGCUGUGAAAACUCCUCCAUAAACAGCUCUGUAAACUGAGUGACAUCAUGGAGGGCUGGCGACCCAGCACUCACCAGCUGCUCCACCCAGUCACGGGCCGGGCCGCAAAACCUGGACACCAGGAACCCGAUCCACUCUCUUAGUAGGCUUGGGAACCGCCAAGCUGCAGAAAUACUCCUGGCAGCUGAAGAGAAACUCCAGCGGGUAGCUCCCCAAUCCCACUGUCUCUGGCGGCAAUUCAAGGGCGUACCUUUGUGGAAAUUGCGCGGAUAAAAAAUGCGGCCAGUAAUCCGAGCGUUCCCCGAUGCGGUAUCGUCCUACGAUUUUCCUGGUUGCUGUGGCGUGCCUUCUCUCUAGUCCUCCUGCUGCAUCCAUGUUAUGGCGGAAGAUUCUGUCACAAAUCGUGACGGAGCAGAGAUAAAGCGGAUGCAAGUGCAGGACAACAGUUGUUUAUUUGUAGAGACAGGCAGGCAGACAAAUCCAAAACGUGAUCCAAAACGUAAUCCAUAAACAUGCAAUAGGUCAGGCGAUUGGCAAACAGGCAUACACAGGGCUAGGCAGGAAUCUAGGUCGAUAACCAAAACAAGACACGAACUAGAACGAGGGACUGGAAGCGGAGAAUCCAGCGCGAACUGACUAUGACUAUGACUAUGACUACGACUAUGACUACGACUAUGACUAUGACUACGACUAUGACUACGACUAUGACUACGACUAUGACUACGAC